GUGGGGAAUAUUGGACAAUGGGCGAAAGCCUGAUCCAGCCAUGCCGCGUGUGUGAAGAAGGUCUUCGGAUUGUAAAGCACUUUAAGUUGGGAGGAAGGGCAUUAACCUAAUACGUUAGUGUUUUGACGUUACCGACAGAAUAAGCACCGGCUAACUUCGUGCCAGCAGCCGCGGUAAUACGAAGGGUGCAAGCGUUAAUCGGAAUUACUGGGCGUAAAGCGCGCGUAGGUGGUUCGUUAAGUUGGAUGUGAAAGCCCCGGGCUCAACCUGGGAACUGCAUCCAAAACUGGCGAGCUAGAGUACGGUAGAGGGUGGUGGAAUUUCCUGUGUAGCGGUGAAAUGCGUAGAUAUAGGAAGGAACACCAGUGGCGAAGGCGACCACCUGGACUGAUACUGACACUGAGGUGCGAAAGCGUGGGGAGCAAACAGGAUUAGAUACCCGAGUAGUCC
rnacentral:rRNA from 1 species